UACGAAGGGGGCGAGCGUUGUUCGGAAUUACUGGGCGUAAAGGGCGCGUAGGCGGCGACUCAAGUUAGAUGUGAAAGUCCUGGGCUUAACCUGGGGACUGCAUUUGAUACUGGGUUGCUUGAAUUCGGGAGAGGAUAGCGGAAUUCCCAGUGUAGAGGUGAAAUUCGUAGAUAUCGGGAGGAACACCGGUGGCGAAGGCGGCGACCUGGGUAGAUACUGACGCUGAGGUGCGAAAGCGUGGGGAGCAAACAGG
rnacentral:rRNA from 1 species